rnacentral:rRNA from 1 species
AUGAACGCUAGCUACAGGCUUAACACAUGCAAGUCGAGGGGCAGCAUUAUCGAAGCUUGCUUUGAUAGAUGGCGACCGGCGCACGGGUGAGUAACGCGUAUCCAACCUUCCCCUUAGUAGGGCAUAGCCCGUAGAAAUGCGGAUUAAUACCCUAUGUUGUAUUAUGAGGACAUCUGAAUAAUACCAAAGGUUCACCGCUAAGGGAUGGGGAUGCGUCUGAUUAGGUUGUUGGCGGGGUAACGGCCCACCAAGCCAUCGAUCAGUAGGGGUUCUGAGAGGAAGGUCCCCCACAUUGGAACUGAGACACGGUCCAAACUCCUACGGGAGGCAGCAGUGAGGAAUAUUGGUCAAUGGGCGAGAGCCUGAACCAGCCAAGUAGCGUGCAGGAUGACAGGCCCUAUGGGUUGUAAACUGCUUUUAUACAGGGAUAAAGUCGGGGACGUGUCCCCGU